rnacentral:rRNA from 1 species
UACGUAGGGUGCGAGCGUUGUCCGGAUUUAUUGGGCGUAAAGAGCUCGUAGGCGGUUUGUCGCGUCGGCCGUGAAAUCUCCACGCUUAACGUGGAGCGUGCGGUCGAUACGGGCAGACUUGAGUUCGGUAGGGGAGACUGGAAUUCCUGGUGUAGCGGUGGAAUGCGCAGAUAUCAGGAGGAACACCAGUGGCGAAGGCGGUUCUCUGGGCCUUACCUGACGCUGAGGAGCGAAAGCGUGGGGAGCAAACAGG